rnacentral:rRNA from 1 species
AGGCAGCAGUGGGGAAUAUUGCACAAUGGGCGCAAGCCUGAUGCAGCCAUGCCGCGUGUAUGAAGAAGGCCUUAGGGUUGUAAAGUACUUUCAGCGGGGAGGAAGGUGAUAAGGUUAAUACCCUUAUCAAUUGACGUUACCCGCAGAAGAAGCACCGGCUAACUCCGUG